GCAUAUCAAUAAGCGGAGGAAAAGAAACCAACAGGGAUUGCCCUAGUAACGGCGAGUGAAGCGGCAACAGCUCAAAUUUGAAAUCUGGCUUCGGCCCGAGUUGUAAUUUGCAGAGGAAGCUUUAGGCGCGGCACCUUCUGAGUCCCCUGGAACGGGGCGCCAUAGAGGGUGAGAGCCCCGUAUAGUUGGAUGCCUAGCCUGUGUAAAGCUCCUUCGACGAGUCGAGUAGUUUGGGAAUGCUGCUCAAAAUGGGAGGUAAAUUUCUUCUAAAGCUAAAUACCGGCCAGAGACCGAUAGCGCACAAGUAGAGUGAUCGAAAGAUGAAAAGCACUUUGAAAAGAGGGUUAAACAGCACGUGAAAUUGUUGAAAGGGAAGCGCUUGUGACCAGACUUGCGCCGGGCUGAUCAUCCGGUGUUCUCACCGGUGCACUCGGCCCGGCACAGGCCAGCAUCGGUUCUCGCGGGGGGAUAAAGGUCCCGGGAACGUAGCUCCUCCGGGAGUGUUAUAGCCCGGGGCGUAAUGCCCUCGCGGGGACCGAGGUUCGCGCAUCUGCAAGGAUG
rnacentral:rRNA from 1 species